rnacentral:misc_RNA from 1 species
GAUGAAGAACGUAGCGAAAUGCGAUAAGUAAUGUGAAUUGCAGAAUUCAGUGAAUCAUCGAAUCUUUGAACGCACCUUGCGCCCUUUGGCCAUUCCGAAGGGCAUGCCUGUUUGAGUAUCAUGAACACCUCAACUCUUUAUGGUUUUCCAUGAUGAGCUUGGACUCUGGGGGUUUUGCUGGCUCACAGUCGGCUCCUCUAAAAUGAAUCGGCUUACCAGUGUUUGGUGGGUAUCAUGGGUGUGAUAACUAUCUACGCUUGUGGUUUUUCCACCAGGUAACCUUCAGCAGUGGAGGUUCGCUGGAGCUCAUAGAUGUCUCUCCUCAGUGAGGACAGCCCUUUGAAUGUUUGAUCUCAAAUCAGGUAGGACUACCCGCUGAACUUAAGCAUAUCAAUAAGCGGAGGA